rnacentral:rRNA from 1 species
CGACUAAGCGCAUACGGUGGAUGCCUUGGCAGUCAGAGGCGAUGAAAGACGUGGAAGCCUGCGAUAAGGCUCGGGGAGCUGGCAAACAAGCUGUGAUCCGGGCAUCUCUGAAUGGGGAAACCCACCGGUCUUCGGACCGGUACCGUACGGUGAAUACAUAGCCGUACGGGGCGAACUCGGGGAACUGAAACAUCUAAGUACCCGAAGGAAAAGAAAUCAACCGAGAUUCCCUCAGUAGCGGCGAGCGAACGGGGACCAGCCCUUAAGCUGGACAACUGGUAGGAGAAGGCCCUGGAAAGAGCCGCCAUAGUGGGUGAUAGCCCCGUAUCCGAAACCUGAGUCCAGUGAAAUCGAGUAGGACGGGACACGAGACAUCCUGUCUGAACAUGGGGGGACCACCCUCCAAGCCUAAAUACUCGUAUGUGACCGAUAGCGAACCAGUACCGUGAGGGAAAGGUGAAAAG